CAGUGUUCCAGCAUACGCUACCAUGUCAACUGUCCAUUAACGUUUGACCUGAUUGUUUCCUUUGCCUGUCAACAUCAAUAAAGUCCUGUGUCUGUGAUACGCAACUGGUUUCUCCGUUCCCUACGUGACAAUUUUCGCCAACCAAAUGGUCGCAGGGUGCUGGAGCUUUUCCCAGCUGACAUCGGGGGUAACGUGGACUACACCCUAAACUGGUUGCCAGUUCCUUAGUGGCAUAGGAGGAGAGGUAGGGAGAGAGCCAGGAGAUGGGCAGCCUUCAUCUCAAAUCCCUUCGGUUUCACCAAGAUCCUCGGGCAGAAAAGAAGCGGCCAUCUCUCCUGCACCGAAGACAAGGUCAACAACUACCUCAAUGCCUCCUACAGUGACAGUGCAAGAGAGGAAGAUCUUGGGCCAUGCAGAACCUUGUGGAUCAAGCGAGGCUACACGUGGUCACGUGCUCUUAAGACACAAGCCGGGACUUGAUCAACCCCGGCUGGGUCCCCUGGGCGAGGGUGUAUGUUGUGAGACCCGAAACAUCCAGUGAACCCAGAUGCCAACACUGACGAUGUGUCUUAAAUUGCACCAAAAGUGUAAAUUAGAACUAGGUCUAAGAAAUGUGUUAUUUGCAUACUUUGUGUAACAGUAUAUCACCUGAAGGUCAUUUAUAUGGUAUCAUGCCUUUUCCUAUAACAUAUUAGAAAUGCAUUCUUAAUUUCAAAACUCAAACAUGAAUAAAAUGUGCCUGUUAUUGUUAACACAUUUGACUCGAAUACUGAUCUAGAGUUGUUGAUGUGC